ACAGUGGCUAGAAGUCGUCCUGUCGUCCUGCCUCACAGUAACAUCGUUACCGAAUUCUCAGCAGGUGAACCAAAUGAAAUGGUCAACUGAAAGCCAACCAGGGGUCUUGUCCUGUCACUCUGGCUGGAAUACAAUGGCGUAAUCAUAGCUCACUGCGGCCUCCAUCUCCUGGGUUCAAGUGAUUCUCCUGCUUCAGCUUCCCAAGUAUCUGGGACUACAGCAAAAAAUCACCAUGUACCAACCUAUCCAAACUUAUCCAUGGAUGAAUCUAUCCAGAAGACGGGAGUUCCGAUGCUUGUCUUGCUCUGAAUGUCUGCUUGUCACCUGCUUAGGGUUAUCGACUGUGAUUCUGGGACUCAUUGUUGUU
rnacentral:lncRNA from 1 species